UUUUUUUAAUUUAUUUUUUAAUUUAUUCUUUUUAUUUGCAGUAGAAGAUUCCCAAACUAAGGGCUGGGAUUGGAUCUCCCUUUUCCCAUACAUGGCGGGGAGUUGAGGGGUCGGGGCUGAGGGAGUGGCCUAUAGCUGCCCUGUUUGGCCCUCAGGAUAUGUGUUUGUGGCCUUGGAAACAAAUGCUGGCUGAGCAGCCUGGGAUUCCAAGCUUGGAAGGAGUCACCCUUCCAGGUGUCAAGCACCCUCUGCCAGCCUGCCCAAAGGGACUCAUGGCAGUAGAGGCUGUGGGACACCCCAGGACACACAGGCUCAAGUGGGUAUUCCAAGGCUCCACGGAACAGCCAGCACCCUGAGGGACAAUAGAGAGGCUGUUUGUGGCUUCCUCCAAAAGAAGAACGAGGAGAAAAUGGCUAGAGCCAAGAACAGCAGGAAAGAAACCUGUAGAAUGCUAGGGAGGCCAAAGCCAGUUUCUUCAGCCCGCAGAGGCAUGUAGAGAUGACCAUGCACUGAUGGGGCCAUCUCCCUCCCCCAGAAUGGUGUCCACACAGCGAGGAAGCCACGCUUGAACCUCUCAUCCAGGACAUUCUCCACACUCUGCCGGUCCUAACUCAGGCAGCAGCCGUAACUGGUGACUCGGCUGAGGCCAUGCCAGCCCCCAUGCACUGUGGCAGGACCAAGGUGUUCAUGACUGACUCCAUGCUGGAGCUUCUGGAAUGUGGGCGUGCCCGGGUGCUGGAGCAGUGUGCCCGCUGCAUCCAGGGUGGCUGGAGGCGACACCGGCACCGAGAGCAGGAGCGGCAGCGGCGGGCCGUCAUGCUCAUCCAGGCAGGUAAGUGGGCAAGUCACCUGUCAGCACUGCACACAGACCCCACAGGAUGUUGGUUUCCUUUGAAACAUAGCUCGUCGAGUCCUCAUCUCCUGAAGCUGUGUCCCACCCUGAAGAGAUGUCCCUGUGGUGUGCUGGGAUUCACCACAGGGAAGGCACGUCCCUGUGGUGUGCUGCGAUUCAAAUUCCCUGUCCCCCUCACCCAUAGCGUCUCUCCAGUUCAGUGGAAACCAAGUCACUCCACAAACAAAGGUGCUCUGUAAGAAGUGGAGGCUAAACAUUGUCUUUAAUUCCUCUUUCUCAGACCCUGACAGCUGUUUAGGCCAACUUUUUUUCCCUUUAUGACAACUCAGACCAUUACCUGCUGGGCUCUAGGGCUGGAAUGAAUUUAAGGAGAAGGUAAAAACCAAAAGGAGUUCAUCCAAUGAAAAGAUGUAUUAACCAACAUGUUCAUAGUGGUCUUAUUUUGAAAAGGAAAAGUGUUAGAAAGAACCCAGAUAUCUAACAGUGGUGACAUCAUGGCCAGAUGAUGGACUGGACCAUCCCUAUGAUGCAGCUAAGUGUUUUUGAAGAAUAUUAUAAAUUUAAUGGAGAACCACUUCCAAAAUGAUAUUUAUACCUAGAUGUCAAACUACAUAUUAAGGGCAAUGCCAUCCUUUUAAGGUGUGUUUCUGUGUGUGUAGGCUAGGCAUUAAAAAAUUGUAUAAGGAAGCUGGGCACAGUAGUUCGCUCCUGUAAUCCCAGCAUUUUGGGAGGCUGAGGUGGGAGGAUCACUUGAGCCCAGGAAUUUGAUACCAGCCGGGCAACAUGGCAAAACCCUGUCUCUACUAAAAAUACAAAAAUUAGCCAAGUGUGGUAGUAUGCACCUAUAAUCCUAGCUACUCAGGAGGCUGAGGUAGGAGAAUCACCUCAACCCAGGAAGCAGAGCUUGCAGUGAGCUGAGAUUGCACCAUCGCACUCCAGCCUGGGUGACAGAGCAAAAAAAAAAAACAAACAAACAUAAUUAACUGCCUGGUGGCGCAUGCCUGUGGUCCCAGUUACUCCAGAGACUGAGGCAAGAGGAUUGCUUGAGCCUGGGAGAUUGAAGCUACAGCCUUACUGAGGCUACAAUAAGCUGUUCGUGCCACUGCACUCCAGCCUGGGCAAGACCCUGUCUCAAAAAAA
rnacentral:sRNA from 1 species